AUUGAACGCUGGCGGCAUGCCUUACACAUGCAAGUCGAACGGUAGCAGGUUAAGCUGACGAGUGGCGAACGGGUGAGUAAUGCAUCGGAACGUGCCCGAUCGUGGGGGAUAACGGAGCGAAAGCUUUGCUAAUACCGCAUACGAUCUACGGAUGAAAGCAGGGGACCGCAAGGCCUUGCGCGGACGGAGCGGCCGAUGGCAGAUUAGGUAGUUGGUGGGAUAAAAGCUUACCAAGCCGACGAUCUGUAGCUGGUCUGAGAGGACGACCAGCCACACUGGGACUGAGACACGGCCCAGACGCCUACGGGAGGCAGCAGUGGGGAAUUUUGGACAAUGGGCGAAAGCCUGAUCCAGCCAUGCCGCGUGCAGGAUGAAGGCCUUCGGGUUGUAAACUGCUUUUGUACGGAACGAAAAGCCUCUUUCUAAUAAAGAGAGGUCAUGACGGUACCGUAAGAAUAAGCACCGGCUAACUACGUGCCAGCCGCCGCUGUAAUAC
rnacentral:rRNA from 1 species